GACGAACGCUGGCGGCGUGCCUAAUACAUGCAAGUUGAGCGCUGAAGGUUGGUACUUGUACCGACCGGAUGAGCAGCGAACGGGUGAGUAACGCGUGGGGAAUCUGCCUUUGAGCGGGGGACAACAUUUGGAAACGAAUGCUAAUACCGCAUAAAAACUUUAAACACAAGUUUUAAGUUUGAAAGAUGCAAUUGCAUCACUCAAAGAUGAUCCCGCGUUGUAUUAGCUAGUUGGUGAGGUAAAGGCUCACCAAGGCGAUGAUACAUAGCCGACCUGAGAGGGUGAUCGGCCACAUUGGGACUGAGACACGGCCCAAACUCCUACGGGAGGCAGCAGUAGGGAAUCUUCGGCAAUGGACGAAAGUCUGACCGAGCAACGCCGCGUGAGUGAAGAAGGUUUUCGGAUCGUAAAACUCUGUUGGUAGAGAAGAACGUUGGUGAGAGUGGAAAGCUCAUCAAGUGACGGUACUACCCAGAAAGGGACGGCUAACUACGUG
rnacentral:rRNA from 1 species